UAUGAAAAGCUUUGUUGCCAUGACUACUUGAUGAAUAAGCACAUUUUAAAAUACUUAAAAAGUGUGCUCCUAGAAAGUAAUACAGAACUAAAAGAAGUUCGUAUUAACUUAGGAAAUAUAGUUAUUAAUGAAAAAAAAGAAUGUGUUGUGAAAGCAAAAAAUGUAAGUAAUAAAAAGAUAACUUUAAAUUAUAAUAUAAAAGAUUUAGAAACAAAAGACAUACUUUUAACUUAUGACAGUAAUGCAAUAGAUGCAGGAAGAUUUAGUACCAUCAAGAUUAGUAUUGAAAAAGAUUCUACAGAUGAAAAAAGUUAUUUUGAAAAAAUAUGUAUAUAUCAAAAUGAUAACAAUUACUAUACGAUUAACAUAGAAUUUCAUUAUAUUUUACCCGAUAUAGUUUUAUACUACAAACAAAUGCAUUUUUCAAAUGUACAAGUAAAAAGUUGUUUAUGUAAAAUAAAUAGAUUAAUAAAUACUAAAAAUGUAAGUGUUAAAUUUAAAAUAAAAAAUAUAAUAUUUUAUAAUAAAAUAUUAGAAUAUUAUCAUAUGAAAAAAAAUACACAAAUUUUUAUAUACCCUAGUAAAGGAAUAAUUCAAAACAAUUCGUAUAUGGAUAUUCGAAUAUUUUUUGAACCUUCUUAUAUAUUUAAAAAUGCAAAAGUAUGUGUAGAAAUUUUUAUUUAUCAUUCUAAUGUUAUCAAAACAAUGUAUAUUUAUUUAAAUAGUGUAAAAGAUAAUAUCCAGAUUGACCCUUGUAAUAUUAUUGUUGAACCGCUUUUACUUAAUAGUAAGGAAGUAUAUAAAACAAUAAAAAUUACUAAUAGCAAUAAUUAUUCGAAACAUUUAUAUAUAUACAAAUUAGAUAAAUAUUAUGAUUACUUUGAAAGUUUUAUAUACGAUAUUUUAUUUAUUUAUAAGCAUAUAUAUAUUGAAAAAAAUGACGAUCAACAGUUGUUUUACACUAAUUUGAUACAUUUUUUGAUAAAUUUGUAUAAAAACGGGAUAAAACAGUUGAACAGUAGGACUCAACAUGGGAUUGAACCAUACAUUAAAGACAACGAACAGAAUCACGUAACAGAAGUAAACACAACAAAUGAUGAACAUAACUGUACGAAUACACCGGCAACUUUAUAUAAUCCUAGUGAAAUAUAUGCACAAGAAAAAGCUAAAAAUAUGAAAAUUUAUGAAAAUAAAAUCAGUAUGUUAGAAGAACUACUAACUCAAAAUAAAACAAAAUACAAUUAUUUUGCAGAAUAUUUAAAAAUAAUAAAAAUAAAAAAAAAAGUAAAAAAUAAUUAUAUAGUAAUAUGUCCUAAAUAUAUUAACUAUAAAAAAAUUGGUAAUUAUUUAUUUACAAGCAAUUUUUUAAAUUUUAACAAAAACGUCAAAAAAAGGAAAAACGUAACAAGAUGUGGUAAUGGUACUGCUAGUGGUAUUGAUAGUGGCACUGCUAAAGGUAUCGAUAGUGGCAUUGCUAAAGGUAUCGAUAGUGGUACUGCUAAAAGUAUCGAUAGUGGCACUGCUAAAGGUAUCGAUAGUGGUACUAACAAUGUUUUAACCAUAAGUAAAAUAAUCGAUUGGUGUAAUAAAAUGAAAGAAAAGGAAGACUACCCACAUGAUGUGAAAGCUGACUUUAUUCAUUUUGUAGUUUAUGAAAAAAGUGUAAACAGUAUGAUUAAUCGGUGUAAUAACGAUAGUACUAAUACGACUGUUGAUACAAAAAAUUUAAAAGACAUAAGCGAACGUACUAAAAAUAAGAAAAAACAAAAUAUAUAUGCAAAAAGUAAAAACCAGGUAAAUAUAGACAAUUACAUUAGUGAAAAAUUAAACUUGAGAGAAAAAAAUCAAAAAGUAAAACAUGAAUUAGACAUAUUAGAACCAAAUGGCUUUGUUGAUAAUGAAAAAAAAAAUAAUGAAGAUAUAAAAAAUAUGGAAGGUGUGGAACAUGUAAGUAAAAAAGGGAACUACAAUACUAAUUGUACUGAUGAUAAUGUAGUUAGUAAAAAGAGAGAUAUUCAUAGCAACAUCAGAAAGAAUUAUUUGAUAAAUACAUAUAAAAAUCGAAUUAAAAAAACUUUAAAAUUGCCUAAUUUAAAAGGAAAAAUGAACAAUAAACGUGUAUUACCAUCUUCGUCACCACCACCACGGUCACCAUCACUGUUGUCGGACACUAUUACACAGGGAGAUAAGCAUACAAAAAAUUUUAGUAGUAAAAAAAAGAAACGCGAACUUGACAGUAUCCUUAAUGAACGUAUUUUUUUUAAUAAAUAUAAUUUAAAAUAUAAAUUGGAAUAUAUAAAUUACUUUUAUGAAUUUGCACUUUUAAACGAUAAUGAAUUUAUGCAUAAUAUAAAACAUUUUUUAAAAUUGGUACAAUCGGAUGA
rnacentral:lncRNA from 1 species